rnacentral:rRNA from 1 species
UGACGAGUGGCGGACGGGUGAGUAAUGUCUGGGAAACUGCCUGAUGGAGGGGGAUAACUACUGGAAACGGUAGCUAAUACCGCAUAACGUCGCAAGACCAAAGAGGGGGACCUUCGGGCCUCUUGCCAUCGGAUGUGCCCAGAUGGGAUUAGCUUGUUGGUGGGGUAACGGCUCACCAAGGCGACGAUCCCUAGCUGGUCUGAGAGGAUGACCAGCCACACUGGAACUGAGACACGGUCCAGACUCCUACGGGAGGCAGCAGUGGGGAAUAUUGCACAAUGGGCGCAAGCCUGAUGCAGCCAUGCCGCGUGUAUGAAGAAGGCCUUCGGGUUGUAAAGUACUUUCAGCGGGGAGGAAGGGAGUAAAGUUAAUACCUUUGCUCAUUGACGUUACCCGCAGAAGAAGCACCGGCUAACUCCGUGCCAGCAGCCGCGGUAAUACGGAGGGUGCAAGCGUUAAUCGGAAUUACUGGGCGUAAAGCGCACGCAGGCGGUUUGUUAAGUCAGAUGUGAAAUCCCCGGGCUCAACCUGGGAACUGCAUCUGAUACUGGCAAGCUUGAGUCUCGUAGAGGGGGGUAGAAUUCCAGGUGUAGCGGUGAAAUGCGUAGAGAUCUGGAGGAAUACCGGUGGCGAAGGCGGCCCCCUGGACGAAGACUGACGCUCAGGUGCGAAAGCGUGGGGAGCAAACAGGAUUAGAUACCCUGGUAGUCCACGCCGUAAACGAUGUCGACUUGGAGGUUGUGCCCUUGAGGCGUGGCUUCCGGAGCUAACGCGUUAAGUCGACCGCCUGGGGAGUACGGCCGCAAGGUUAAAACUCAAAUGAAUUGACGGGGGCCCGCACAAGCGGUGGAGCAUGUGGUUUAAUUCGAUGCAACGCGAAGAACCUUACCUGGUCUUGACAUCCACGGAAGUUUUCAGAGAUGAGAAUGUGCCUUCGGGAACCGUGAGACAGGUGCUGCAUGGCUGUCGUCAGCUCGUGUUGUGAAAUGUUGGGUUAAGUCCCGCAACGAGCGCAACCCUUAUCCUUUGUUGCCAGCGGUCCGGCCGGGAACUCAAAGGAGACUGCCAGUGAUAAACUGGAGGAAGGUGGGGAUGACGUCAAGUCAUCAUGGCCCUUACGACCAGGGCUACACACGUGCUACAAUGGCGCAUACAAAGAGAAGCGACCUCGCGAGAGCAAGCGGACCUCAUAAAGUGCGUCGUAGUCCGGAUUGGAGUCUGCAACUCGACUCCAUGAAGUCGGAAUCGCUAGUAAUCGUGGAUCAGAAUGCCACGGUGAAUACGUUCCCGGGCCUUGUACACACCGCCCGUCACACCAUGGGAGUGGGUUGCAAAAGAAGUAGGUAGCUUAACCUUCGGGAGGGCGCUUACCACUUUGUGAUUCAUGACUGGGGUGAAGUCGUAACAAGGUAACCGUAGGGGAACCUGCGGUUGGAUCACCUCCUU